GACGAACGCUGGCGGCGUGCUUAACACAUGCAAGUCGAACGGAAAGGCCCUGCUUUUGUGGGGUGCUCGAGUGGCGAACGGGUGAGUAACACGUGAGUAACCUGCCCUUGACUUUGGGAUAACUUCAGGAAACUGGGGCUAAUACCGGAUAGGAGCUCCUGCUGCAUGGGGGGGGAUGGAAAGUUUCGGCGGUUGGGGAUGGACUCGCGGCUUAUCAGCUUGUUGGUGGGGUAGUGGCUUACCAAGGCUUUGACGGGUAGCCGGCCUGAGAGGGUGACCGGCCACAUUGGGACUGAGAUACGGCCCAGACUCCUACGGGAGGCAGCAGUGGGGAAUAUUGCACAAUGGGCGGAAGCCUGAUGCAGCAACGCCGCGUGCGGGAUGACGGCCUUCGGGUUGUAAACCGCUUUCGCCUGUGACGAAGCGUGAGUGACGGUAAUGGGUAAAGAAGCACCGGCUAACUACGUG
rnacentral:rRNA from 1 species